rnacentral:rRNA from 1 species
AGAGUUUGAUCCUGGCUCAGAUUGAACGCUGGCGGAAUGCUUUACACAUGCAAGUCGAACGGCAGCACGGGAGCUUGCUCCUGGUGGCGAGUGGCGAACGGGUGAGUAAUACAUAGGAACAUACCCAGUAAUGGGGGAUAACGCCGAGAAAUCGGUGCUAAUACCGCAUACGCCCUACGGGGGAAAGCGGGGGAUCUUCGGACCUCGCGUUAUUGGAUUGGCCUAUGUCUGAUUAGCUAGUUGGUGAGGUAAAGGCUCACCAAGGCGACGAUCAGUAGCUGGUCUGAGAGGAUGAUCAGCCACACUGGAACUGAGACACGGUCCAGACUCCUACGGGAGGCAGCAGUGGGGAAUUUUGGACAAUGGGCGAAAGCCUGAUCCAGCCAUUCCGCGUGAGUGAAGAAGGCCUU